UAAAAAGGAGAAGCAGCUGGGACUGAGGUGGGAGGAAGGUCUCAAAUUUGGGAUUAAAGAUUGUAGAAGCCAGUGAAAAGGGGAAGCAUCCUAAUAGGAACGCAGAGAAAAAUUUCCCCCUUGGACCCUUACAAAGAGACUCGGUACUGGACUGGUGGUGGAGAUGUUUACAUGGACACAGCAGUGCCUGUCCAGCUGCUCUGAAGGUGACAGGUGGAUGAACAGCUGGUUCCCACCUGCUGGGAUAAGAGAGCAGAUGGAGGAGGGAGCACAGGUGUGGGAAUGUGCAGGUGCCAGACUUCCCCGGAGCAGAUGCCCCAGGUCCCAAUUCACAGAUUUGCUCAUGAUCCACCCUCUCCGUGGCCGUCAAGUCCCGGUAAAGGAUGACUUGGACAUGAUGAACUCUACUGCCUCGUGCACAUUACUUCCAUGCCGUGUCUUUCCUGGAUAACUCGCAUUUUACAGAAUCAAGAGAAAACCCAAACCCAGGGAACAGGAUCGUAGAUUUGGGAGGUUCUUUACUAUCAACAAUACUAAUUUUAACAGACUUGGUCCUUAAAGAAGUUAAUCAGGCCCAAGAGAGAAAAAAUGUGAGUGAGCAAGAAUCCCAGCAGGAAUCAAAUUCCCACCUGGCGCUCCACUCUGUGAGUUGCCAGCUUUCGAUUUAUUAGAAGAACCGGCCCCACGACACAGACACCAGCGAGAACAUCAGAGGCUUCUGGAAGCCUCAGAAAAUGUGUGCCAAUUAAUUGACUUGUUUUUAUUUGUUAUUCUUUCAUAUGUCAAAUUAAAUAGGUGAUAAUGUAAAGCAAUAUCCUCAAAAGUAUAAGCCUGUUUUUAGGAAAAGGGAAAUAAAAAUACUGAAUUUAGAUUAAAGUUAAUAUAACAUCCAAAUAAAAUACAAAAACUUUGAUCAUACAAAAGGGUGAGAAAAUAAUUAGCAUUAUUUUUCCAAGGAUUUUGUGGCAGAGAAUACUUACAGUGAGUCAGAGUUCUGCUGUUAAUUAGCCGAACGACUCUAGGUAGCUCACAUAAACACUCUGGCUUCCCUCCCUACAGAGGGAUUUGAGCUGUUUAGACUUAGAGAAUAUCUUCAAGAUAGAAAAAUUCUAUUAUUUUAUUUCAUCACAAGGGAAGAUUUUAAAUUAGGCUUCAGUUGGUGGUUGUAAUGAGCUGUCUUUUACAUGGAACAGAGCCAAAAACCAAGUAGACUCAUCUUUUAAUGUUUCCUAGUUAACUGGUCACUCUGACGAAAAUCACAUUAACAGAAAAGUAUUGCUCCUUAGAAAAACAUGUUUCAAAUGCCUUGCAUCAUUUUAAUGGAUCUCAAAACAAUCAACCUGCUUCUCUAUCAAGGAGACGACAUAACUUCAUGAACAACAUUUCGCUCUUUGUAAAUAUUUCCUUCCCAAGUUCCAUCAUAGUUAAUAACUAACGUCUACAUUCUUCUCAAAUAUCGCCUUGUUGUUUUUCUUAGUUUCCACCCAAAACCAUG
rnacentral:lncRNA from 1 species